rnacentral:rRNA from 1 species
AUUCCGGUUGAUCCUGCCGGAGGACAUUGCUAUUGGGAUUCGAUUUAGCCAUGCUAGUCGAACGAGUUUAGACUCGUGGCGAAUAGCUCAGUAACACGUGGCCAAGCUCCCCUUCAGUCAGCGAUACCCUCGGGAAACUGAGGUUAACAGCUGAUACAAAACGCCAGCUGGAAUGCGGCGUUUCAGAAAGACAUCGCUGAAGGAUGCGGCUGCGGCCGAUUAGGUAGACGGUGGGGUAACGGCCCACCGUGCCAGUAAUCGGUACGGGUGAUGAGAGUCAGAGCCCGGAGACGGAAUCUGAGACAAGAUUCCGGGCCCUACGGGGCGCAGCAGGCGCGAAACCUUUACACUGCACGGAAGUGCGAUAGGGGAAUCCCAAGUGCGAGGGCAUAUUAGCCCUCGCUUUUCUCGACUGUAAGGUGGUCGACGAAUAAGAGCUGGGCAAGACCGGUGCCAGCCGCCGCGGUAAUACCGGCAGCUCAAGUGAUGUCCCAUAUUAUUGGGGCCUAAAGCGUCCGUAGCU